UGCAAAAUGAGUAUUGAAACUGUAAAGAAAGAGUUCAGGGAUUCAUUAACCUAAUUUAGGGUAUCCACAGUAAAAGUCAGUAUGGGGUGGUAAGCGGAUUGAGCCCAGGUCAUUCCUACUGAGCUGCAUACCCAGCCCGGCUCUUUUACCUUUUAUUAUUCUGAGACAGAGCAUCACGAAGCUGCCCAAGUAGAAUUCAAGUCUGCAAUUCUUCUGCCUCGGUCUUCCAAAAUGCUAGGAUUACAGGUCACUGCCGGAGGACAGAAUUAGAAGACGCUCCUUUGGCAAGAGAGGCUGCUGGGUGCACAGGAACGCUACUAACACUGUAACAUCAUGAAAUCUGAGAAUUAAGGAGAAUUUUCAAGUCAAUCCAAGGCACUACUCAUUUCAUAAAUGAGGUAAGUUCCCAGAGACGUUGUCUACAUUCCUCAGAGUCACACAGACUUGCUGCAAACCCUUACCGAAAGUUUCAACCUCAAAUUCACUGACUGACAGCAGUGCUGGGAACUGAGUCCUGGGCCUCUUCUGUGACGUACACGCCAGGCUAGCGCUCUACCGCUGUGUUACAGUCCCAUGCCCGACCUCUCGAUUUAACCUUACGCCUUCUCCCACAUGUUUCCUAAUUAUUAUAUUUUCAAGUGAGGCCUAUUUUUUGUUUUCCACUAGUAAGAUAAAUAUUGAAUACUACUGUUGGUCUAAAAGAAGGGAUGAAGUAAGGGGAGGGAACUUGUCCCUUAAUAAGCAAGAAAAUGCUCGUCCAACCUGUCCAUAUGUGGAAAAUUAGGGUUACACUAGUAACACACAUGUCUAGAAAAUGAGUAAAUAAAGUGAAAUAUGAUAUUAUUACAAUGUUAACUAAGAUACACAGGCAUUUUAAUACCUGAACAAAAUCACCCUAAGGUUAUACAACUUUGAGACUAUAUCUUCAAGAGAUUUUAGGUGUUUCAUGUGUGUGGAAGAGACAAGCAGCUUAGUGGUUCAAAUCUCCUCAAACAAAGGACAAACUAACAUUUCAUUUAUGAAGACUGCAAUAUAGGAUGCUCUCACUUAACAAGUUUACUAAAUUUUAAA